rnacentral:lncRNA from 1 species
AAGCUGCAGCCUUCUUUGCAUCCUUCAAAAAUGCUUUAAGCAAUGGAACAGGGGGGAACUUGUCCACAAGACCAACUUCAUAAGUAAAAUGCACAGCAUCAAGCUGCUGUCCCCUACUAAUUAGUUCUUCGAUCAUAUCUGUACAUGAUAGAAGUUUCAGAUCACCACAAUCAUCAACCAAAGUAGCUUUUCAAUUAGUGCUGGCUCUUAUUUCCAAAAAAAAAAAAAAAGAAAAACAAAAGAAAGAUUAUAAAGUUGAACUUGGAAAAGAUAUACAUGCAAGUCUUAACCAGCCUCAAUGAGACAAGUUCAUUUUAGUCAUAAUAUAGCAUAGAAGCUUUAGAAUGCCCAAGCACAUUGGACCUUUAGAGUAUCCGCAAUGACAAUGUUAAACUGGCUCAUUGGAUUGCCAGCAUAAAUUUAUGAUUAAUUUUCUGACAAAAUGGUUGAGGUGUAAGAAAUCCAUAAAGCCAGUCAACCACAAAUGAGGAUGCAACUGUUCUUGUUAAAUGGCCACCAUUCUCUAGUUAAUAAUAAACUGAUUGUCUUCUACAACACAACAAGUGUGCCGAACAGGGAGCAUGGGUGUGUGCACUAAUACAAGCCACGCAAUUUGAGCAUUGUUAUGUGCCAAGAAAUAUCUAAAUGGGAAGGUAAAGAAAGAAUUUGCACUUAUCUUAGGCAGUAAAGUGCAAUAAGCGACCUUCACCAUGACAAGCAACACAUAUGGUACAAGAUAAACAAAAACUCAAUCAACACGCUAGCUCCUUGGGGUAGUUUAUCACGCUGACCAGAAUCAAGCUCCAAGACCUGGGCUGAAUGAUCAAUAUGACCUACCGAC